UACAGAGGUCCCAAGCGUUGUUCGGAUUCAUUGGGCGUAAAGGGUGCGUAGGCGGCGCGGUAAGUCGGGUGUGAAAUCUCGGAGCUUAACUCCGAAACUGCAUUCGAUACUGCCGUGCUUGAGGACUGGAGAGGAGACUGGAAUUUACGGUGUAGCGGGAAUGAACGUAGAUAUCGUAAGGAAGACCAGUGGCGAAGGCGGGUCUCUGGACAGUUCCUGACGCUGAGGCACGAAGGCCAGGGGAGCAAACGGG
rnacentral:rRNA from 1 species